rnacentral:rRNA from 1 species
ACAGCUACAUGAAACACUGGUUCCCAUAUGAUCAUUGAAGUUAAGCAACAUCAAGCAUGGUCAGUAGCUAUAUGGGUGACUGCUUGGGAAUUCCAGGUGCUGUAAG